rnacentral:rRNA from 1 species
CCGUAGGUGAACCUGCGGAAGGAUCAUUGCCGCGACCCCGGACGACCCGCGAACCCGUUCACACGACCCGCGGCGGCCCCCGGGCCGCCCCGGGGCCGACGGCCCCGGAGAACGAAAACCCCGGCGCGGGACGCGCCAAGGAGAACCCCAACGAGACGGCACGCCCCGGGCGCCCGUUCGCGGGCGGCGCGGGGCGGCGAGCCUCUUAUCGCGAAUCGAAACGACUCUCGGCAACGGAUAUCUCGGCUCUCGCAUCGAUGAAGAACGUAGCGAAAUGCGAUACUUGGUGUGAAUUGCAGAAUCCCGCGAACCAUCGAGUCUUUGAACGCAAGUUGCGCCCGAGGCCGCGAGGCCGAGGGCACGUCUGCCUGGGCGUCUCGCAACGCGUCGCCCCCCAGCCGACCCCGCGCGGGCGCUGGCGGGCGGAGACUGGCCCCCCGCGGGCGGCACGGCCCGCGGCCGGCCCAAAACCGGGCCGCCGGCGACGGACGGCGCGACGAGUGGUGGAGUCCGGCACGCGUCGUCCCGCGCCCGUCGCCACGGGCGGCCCCCCGGCGACCCCGGAGCACCGACCGCGACCCCAGGUCAGGCGGGAUCACCCGCUGA